AGAUUAGAAAAUAAUUAGAUAACAUAAAAAUAAACUUGUAGCCUAAACUGUAUAUAUUGCCUACCCUUGAAUCGAAACUCUGGCUCCAUUAUUAGUUGAUUGAAUUCCUGUUAUGAAGCAUGAGCUGGAAGCAUAUACUUGGUGACAUUGAUCAUUGUGACGUUGAACCACCUAUAUUCAUAAACUCACACCUUCUACUUGUUAGACAUUAUACUACCUAGGAAAUAUAUAUCACCCUCAUCAAACAUAGAAGCAGCUAUGUCAUAUGAGAGAGUGAAAGUAACUCAGAGCAAGUAACAAAGUUUACGAGUUAUUUUCACACUUGGGAUGCUUUAGAGAGUUUGACUUGGUGGCUUAGAUAUAGAGAAGAGAAAAAGGCUGAAAAACCUCAACACCCGCAUGAGAAGGCUAAGGUCAGAUAUGGAAGAAAUAAGAAAGGAACAAAAAAAGAUCAAAGAGGGGCAAAGACAAGUAAGAGGAAAAUUUGUAGCGAUUGAAUUGGAAUGUGAACAACUUCGAAAGGAGACUAACCUCAUAAUGCAGCAGAGUGCCAACACCCAAAUCCGCCUUGCUUUCAUGUUCCAAAUCCUGAAAGCAAGAGAAAACCAAGAGUUUGACAAGGCAGCCAAACUCACUUGUGCUCUCCGUGAACUGAUAGCGAGAGAGAAUCAGCAGACGAAAACAAUUGUACCGGUUGCUGGAACUUGUUCUAAUAAAUAAAUUAAGGGUGCCUGAACAUUAAUCUGAUGAAGACGAAGGUUCAAUGGUGGCUGCUGCCUUCAAGUCGUCGCAUUUGGUUGUUUGGUCUGUCUUUUAUGUUGGCUGAGUUCUUCAGUGUGGUCAUCGUCGUUGCCUCUACUAUGCCAUCUAUUUCGUGUUGAUGUUACGUGUUUCAGUGUAUUUCAUGUUUGUGUUGAGUUUUCAAUUGAAUGUAUUAAACUUUUCUGUA
rnacentral:sRNA from 10 species